rnacentral:rRNA from 1 species
GAUGAACGCUGGCGGCGUGCCUAAUACAUGCAAGUCGAGCGAACAGAUGAGGAGCUUGCUCCUCUGACGUUAGCGGCGGACGGGUGAGUAACACGUGGAUAACCUACCUAUAAGACUGGGAGAACUUCGGGAAACCGGAGCUAAUACCGGAUAAUAUAUUGAACGGCAUGGUUCACUAGUGAAAGACGGUUUUGCUGUCACUUAUAGAUGGCUCCGCGCCGCAUUAGCUAGUUGGUAAGGUAACGGCUUACCAAGGCAACGAUGCGUAGCCGACCUGAGAGGGUGAUCGGCCACACUGGAACUGAGACACGGUCCAGACUCCUACGGAAGGCAGCAGUAGGGAAUCUUCCGCAAUGGGCGAAAGCCUGCCGGAGCAACGCCGCGUGAGUGAUGAAGGUCUUCGGACCGUAAAACUCUGUUAUUAGGGAAGAACAAAUGUGUAAGUAACUAUGCACGUCUUGACGGUACCUAAUCAGAAAGCCACGGCUAACUACGUG